AGAUAAUAGAUACCCGGGUAGUCCACGCCCUAAACCAUGUCAACUGGGUGUUCGGGAAGCGAUUUCUGAGUACCGUAGCUAAACGCGUGAAGUUGACCGCCUGGGGAGUACGGCCGCAAGGUUAAAACUCAAAGGAAUUGACGGGGACCCGCACAAGCGGUGGAUGAUGUGGAUUAAUUCGAUGCAACGCGAACAACCUUACCUACCCUUGACAUGUCCGAGAGCCUGCUGAGAGGCGGGUGUGCCCGAAAGGGAAUCGGAACACAGGUGCUGCAUGGCUGUCGUCAGCUCGUGUCGUGAGAUGUUGGGUUAAGUCCCGCAACGAGCGCAACCCUUGUCCCUAGUUGCUACGCAAGGGCACUCUAGGGAGACUGCCGGUGAC
rnacentral:rRNA from 1 species